GCGAUGAGCAACAUCAGCUUCCUUUGGGACGUGCUGCCACAGCGCUUACGACAGCUGUGAGGUGUUAUGCCAGAUGGAAGGAAACAUUGUCCUGAUGCAGAAGCACCUAAGAGAGCUUCACCUCUGCCACCCAAAAGCUGGCAGGACCCAGAGAGCCAAAAAGAAGAGAAAGGUGGAAGACAUGGAAGAGGGGGAGAGCAUUUGCUCCACCUGCUUGGACAGCCACGGCUCCCAGGAGGCUCUUGGAGGGAAUCGGGGGAUUGCUCCCCAGUGAAUAACGUGUAUGAAGUAAAACAACAGAGGUUGCCUGUAUUGCCUUCAUCCAUCCCUGGUAUGCACAUCCUCUGGGAAAGUGGGAGAGAAGAAGGACAGAGAAAAAGAACAAGAGAGUGUAUCAUCAGUUCUGAUGAGAAUUCAGCUCCAGGCAGUGAAGUGUUUUCUGCCUGCCCUAUCACAGAUGUUACGGGGUGCCUUUCCUGGAGGAGCUUCCAUUGCUGAGAGCGUCGUGAUGCCAGCUGAAAUCUUGUCCUACUAUAUCACAGCAGGGAAAGAAAAGAAACAGUGCAAGUAAAUGAAGUGAGGAAUGUUUGUGAACUAAAUGUGAUAUAAAGAAAUGAAUUUCUGACUCAGCAGCUUGAAUUGCUGGAAGUGUUUCUAUAUGAGAACCAAAUGCCAGAGAUGACCUUGUCAAUAAUGAAUCCUAGCUAUAAACACUCUCAUAUAUAUAUUUGGAGCAUGGUGUAUUCUUCAAAAGAGUUGAACUAAUCAGUAAGCAAGCACACUCCUUCAAAAAUUGUAUGUGCUAGUGUAGGUUUAUUCUCCUUCUCAAAGGCAAGAAGGAAAUAGCAAAUGGCCUCUGAGAUAAUUUUAAGAGUUACCUAGCUGUUCGUUUGAUUUCCACUUCAUGAAAACUUAUGUUGUCUUUGCUACUUGUCUAUGAUGUAUCAACCCAUUGGUUUUACUGGUUGAUUCAAAAGACAAAGUGAAGCCUUGGCCAUCCUCCUAGAGGGAGAAGCAUUGGGAAGGCUAUGAACCAUGUUUGGCUCUUGCUUUGUUGACCAAUUCUCACUAUGUGCUUUGGUGCUUAUAUACACUUUGGGUACAAUGCCAUCAUGGCAGCAGUUUCAUUUAGUACUUCUCAGGAGUUCUUCAGUAACAUAACUGGGAGCAACUAUAGCAGUUAUUUUACUGUAUUCUUGGAAAAGAUUUGGACAAAUUGGCUCACAAUAUAUGUACUAAUGGUGUAGUUUAGC
rnacentral:lncRNA from 1 species